UACGUAGGGUGCAAGCGUUAAUCGGAAUUACUGGGCGUAAAGCGUGCGCAGGCGGUUUUGUAAGUCAGGUGUGAAAUCCCCCGGGCUCAACCUGGGAAUGGCAUUUGGGACUGCAAGGCUGGAGUGCGGCAGAGGAGACUGGAAUUCCUGGUGUAGCAGUGAAAUGCGUAGAUAUCAGGAGGAAUACCGAUGGCGAAGGCAGGUCUCUGGGCUGACACUGACGCUCAUGCACGAAAGCGUGGGGAGCAAACAGG
rnacentral:rRNA from 1 species